rnacentral:rRNA from 1 species
GACGAACGCUGGCGGCGUGCUUAACACAUGCAAGUCGAACGAAGUGGCGAACGGGUGAGUAACGCGUAAUCAACCUGCCCUUCAGAGGGGGACAACAGUUGGAAACGACUGCUAAUACCGCAUACGGAAGGAGGGGAUUGCGUUUGGUUAGCUAGUUGGAGGGGUAAGGGCCCACCAAGGCGAUGACGAGGGGCCGGACUGGUAGGAUGAACGGCCACAUUGGGCCGGUGACACGGCCCAGACUCCUACGGGAGGCAGCAGUGGGGAAUCGUCCGCAAUGGACGAAAGUCUGACGGAGCAACGCCGCGUGAUUGAUGACGGCCUUCGGGUUGUAAAGCUCUGUUAAUCGGGACGCGGUACCGGAAUAGAAAGCCACGGCUAACUACGUGCCAGCAGCCGCGGUAAUAC